rnacentral:rRNA from 1 species
CAGCCGCCGCGGUAAUACGUAGGGUGCAAGCGUUAAUCGGAAUUACUGGGCGUAAAGCGUGCGCAGGCGGUUAUAUAAGACAGAUGUGAAAUCCCCGGGCUCAACCUGGGAACUGCAUUUGUGACUGUAUAGCUAGAGUACGGCAGAGGGGGAUGGAAUUCCGCGUGUAGCAGUGAAAUGCGUAGAUAUGCGGAGGAACACCGAUGGCGAAGGCAAUCCCCUGGGCCUGUACUGACGCUUAUGUACGAAAGCGUGGGGAGCAAACAGGAUUAGAUACCCGCGUAGUCCCUGUCUCUUAUAA